UCAGUGUUAAUUUUAAUUUUGUUUUUAAAUUUUUUAGGUGGAAUUUUAAAUUUGUUUAAAGUUAUUUCUUUGUUCUGAGGUUGGGAAAUCUUUAUUAUAAACUAGGAUUAGAUACCCUAUUAUUUUAGAUGUUAUUAAUUUUCUAUAAUUAUUAUUAGUUAAGUUCUUUAAAAUUAAACAAUUUGGCGGUAUUUUAGUCUAUUCAGAGGAACCUGUUUUUUGAUUGAUGGUCCACGAUAAUUUUUACUUUGGCUUUAAAUUUAUAUAUCGUCGUUGUUAAAAAUUUUUGGAGGAUUAUAAUUUUUAAGAUUUUUUAUUUAGGAUAAAUUCAGAUCAAGGUGUAGUUUAUGCUUAAGUUAAAAUGGGUUACAUUUCAUUUAUGAUUGGUUCUUUUUUUUAAAUUUUUUGAUAAAUUGGAUUUGAGGGUAAAUUCUUUAUUUUUGGGAGUUGAUUUAGCUCUAAAAUAUGCACA
rnacentral:rRNA from 1 species